AAAAGGUAGGGAAAGAGAGCAACUGUAGGAAAUAAUAGGAAUGGGAGGUUUGGGAAGAAGUCCUUUUUUGUGUUCCUUGUGUAAUAAUAUUCACAAACACUUGGGGUGCAUGUUUUUCCCAAUCCUCCCAUUCCCCUAACUUCCUACUGCAACUGCCUUUCCCCCUUCUUC
rnacentral:miRNA from 1 species